rnacentral:lncRNA from 1 species
CCUUUCAGGUAAGGUGUACAAUGACCUGGGCCUGGGUUUCUCCCAGCUGAAGUUGUUCCAGGAGGCAGCCUGGUGCUAUGAGCGGGCCCUGCCCCUUGUCAGCACCAGGCCCAAAAGGCUGGCCGUGGUCCUACAGAACCUGGGAGCCGUUCACAACACACUGAGCCAGUACCGGCAGGCCCUGGACUACCACCGAUAGACAGCCAGCCUGCAUGGUGAGCUUAUUACAUCACUUACGCUGGAGAGUAUAGUUAUACUGUAUUUUCUGCAAAGUUCAGUGCUGUUAUGUACUGCAUGUAAUAAUGAUAUACCAUUUAGCAUGCGCUAUUCUCCAAAGUACUCUGCGUGCAUAUUGUUUUUGUAUGAGUGGUGCAAGCACUCUACCAACUGAGCCACAGAGAAUCGUGUGUGUGAGGAACAUGUUACCUGAGGCGUGUAGGAGUAAUUGUUUAGGCAGAGGGGCAGACCAUUCCUCAAACAUUUCAUUAUACCCUGAUUAAUCCUUUACAGUAUCUGGGUGUGUCCAGUGCUCUCCAUGCCUCUAAUCUGUCUCUGUGAGCAGCUCUCACAUUAGCAAGAGAGGUGUGUGUAUGUGUGUGCUCGCGCGCAGGGGUGUGUGUGGCUGAGAUUCCACUGAGGCAAUCCCAUAGGGACUUACAGAGUGCUUACCACAGCACCACUGAGUGACUCACACACUGGUAUGUCUUGUGUGUAUGUGCAUGUAACGGUUCUAAGACAUGUUUUUUUCGGCAGCCCACAUGCUGUUGGGGAUGUGAACGUGACAUAGCUACUUAUGCUUUUUUUUUAAGUGAGUGAAAAAGUGAUGACGCUGUAAAUAUUGUCUCUUGUUCCCUGUAUUAACCCCUCUCCCUUUGUAAUCUAUCUUUCUCUCAAACUCUGUCUCUCUCUGAUACCCUUCCCCCUUUCUCCCCAUCAUUCUGUGUGUCUGCGUCAGGGUCUUUGGGCAGUCGUCGUGCUCAGUGCCGCUGCUUCAGUAACUUGGCCUUUGCCCUCAGUCAGCUGAGGGAGCAUGAGGAGGCAGCAGAGAAUGACCUCCAAGCCCUGCAGGCCUUCAAAGACACUGUGAGUGGAGCUGGCUCUGCAGAGGUGUCUAUCGGAGAGCAGGGGAAGGAGGAGGAAGCCCCGGUUCCAGAUGGAGAACAGGCACACACAGUGACGAUGGGAGAAGCAUGUGACUCUCAGUCACCGGUGACAAGAUCUCUCAUUGAGAAGCCGGGGUAUCUGACUGUGCUGCCAGGGGCAAACAGGAACCUGAAUAAUACAUAUGAGCAGCCCGACCCGACCACCAUUAUUAGAACCAGGACCCAUCAAACCACCCUGUACUCACCCAGCAGAGUAAGAACCACUCCCCUCAAUCUUAACCUGAGAAACGGUUGCACAACAUGAACUUUUGCACAAAUCUCCCAUUGGGGAAGUAGCUAGCUAUAACUAGUGUGUGGGCUAAGUAGUCCUUAUUUGGACAGAGGACCACUAGCAUGUUAAAAUAACACAACUUUUUAAAAUCCACAUUCUGCACAUAUACAAGAAAGUAAUGGCUGUGUUAUCAAAAGCUUUGUUCAACCAAUAUUUACUGUUUGUUAUAAUCCCUCUGUAGGCGAGCAUUUAUAUGAGAGCUUUAAACCGAUGACAACACAGACUAACAGGUGUGUAAUGUUUGUUUGUAAGUUAUUUCCAGUGAUCGGCUUCAGUUUGAGUAAUCAUUGAUACUGACUGAACACGUAUCAUGUGUUUUAGUGAGACUCCAUUGUCCGAAAGCGCCGAAGAUUCACCCACUGGUGCGACAGAUAAUGAAGAGACCAUAACCCUGUUAAAGAAACGGAAGUCCUAAAUCUGCACAGUCAUGUGACUUGAUGCAAGUUAAUGUGGUUGGUUAAUUGAAAGCAUUCAUAGAAAUGACUCUAUUGGGUGUAUUUCUAUGGGUCAAAUCUGCUCUUUGCACAUUGGUAUUAAAAAUUCUAAUGCACAUGUAAGUGUUACUGUAUAACAUUGUCUGUCUCAUCUCCUGCACGUACAAGUGUUGCCAUGUCAUUGCAUUUGUCUUCCAAACACUCCCUGUGUGUAUGCUGGUCAUUGUCCCCCACACUGAAAUUGGGGAAGGGACUGUGGAUCUGUUUCCGUCCGUUAGUACGUUCAUAUGUUAGUCACAAGCGAUAUCUCAGACAGCAUUGGCCCGGUUUUGACUAAACUUUGGUGAAUGGUGCAUCUUGCCAUAGCUUUACAGCAUUUAGAAAAUUACACUGAUUGGCCAGAUGGUGGCCCUGUAACAAGAUUGAAAAUGCAAAGUUUGAAAGGUCAUGCCCCUCACCCCAUUAUACCUUAAAUCAUGAAAUAUAGUAGAUCGGUUCCUGUCUUCACAAGGAACAAAUUUGCCUCUGGACCCAUAAGUUCCGCCAUGAUGGAUUUUCCGCCAUUUUGAAUUGUGUGAAAAACACUUAACCCUACUCUUCUGAUACCGAAUGACCAAUCUGCACGAAACUUGAUAUGUGGCAUUUAUGGAAAACGAUCUCUCAACGCAAUAUUUUCCAGACUGGUAGCUAAAUCAACAUGGCCGCUAUAUUGACCAAUAAACAUUCACCUGGGUGUGUUCUGGCACAUAACUGCAUAUAAAUCAGUCAAAGACAUUCGUAUUGUAACAGAAUUUGAUAAACCCUGUCAAGACUCAACAUAUGCAAGAACAUUCAUAUCGACCUUGCUGUGGCGCUAUAACGGGCAUAUAUCUGUUGGUCUGUUUGACUUAGUGAUGAAAUUUGGCACGCAUGUUUAGGGAUAUGAGCUAACCCACACGAUAUCUCAGACACCACUGGCCCAAUUUUGACAACAUUUGGGUGAAUGAUUAGUCAUGCUAUAGAGAUCUGAAAAUGACAAAAUUAUACCUUUUGGGCCAGGGGGGCUAUAGUAAUCAACUGUACAUACGUUAGUCAUUUGUGGGGGGAUGACAUGUUUACUGUUGCCUUAUUUCAAGGUGUCUUGGUAGUCAAUAUUCUAAGAUUGUCAUAAUGUGUAUCAUUUCUUCAAUCAUGCUAAUUUAAAUCUCUGCUCUUCACUUGAAUCAUGGUUGUACAAUUUGAAAUAAAUGUCAUCUGUUUUUGAACUAUUUAACUCUGAUCCUUUGUAAAUGUAUAGUCACCACAACGCUUAAGAAAGCCAUCACCGUUGAUCAUUGCUACAAGAAAACACAAAAAAAGAACAAGCACUCAAUCUGUUUUCAAUUGGUUUUCCUAAAGGUCACACUAUGAGAAAAUAGGCCUAACCUGUAAUUAAAUAUCCACAAUUGUUACCCAGAGGAGGGCCAUUUUUUUUCAAUUUCAGUCAGGGAGAGGGUUUAGUCUUUUAUUCAUUUUUAUAUAUUUGUUAUUUAGUCCAG